rnacentral:rRNA from 1 species
UAAAUACUAAUACCAGAUCGAUAGUGCACAAGUACCGUGAGGGAAAGGUGAAAAGAACUGAGGUGAUCAGAGUGAAAUAGAACCUGAAACCAUUUGCUUACAAUCAUUCAGAGCCCUAUGUAGCAAUACAGGGUGAUGGACUGCCUUUUGCAUAAUGAGCCUGCGAGUUGUGGUGUCUGGCAAGGUUAAGCAAACGCGAAGCCGUAGCGAAAGCGAGUCUGAAUAGGGCGCUUAGUCAGAUGCUGCAGACCCGAAACGAAGUGAUCUAUCCAUGAGCAAGUUGAAGCUAGUGUAAGAACUAGUGGAGGACUGA